GAGGAGUUCCAGCGACCCUGCACUCAAGACUAACUGGAUCUCCACGAGUCACUUUGACUACCUCCGGCCUCUCUUGGAUCAUAGGCGGUUCUACAACACCAAGACAAAGAGGCAACAUCGAACGGUGCAGAGCCUGCAAUCUCACACUCCAACACAGCUACAGAUCCUCUGACUGCCUCUAAGGAGAGCAACUCCUUUCUGAAAGAUGGUGGUUCUGAAGGGGAACAACUUCAGUUAGAUAGUUAUUCUGACUCAGAGGAACCAAGAAACCUGCAGAUCUGGAGACAGCGUUUCUCAACAGUCAGGAUCAUGUCAACAACAUCUGCCUUAUAAGCCUGUAUUUAUGCAAUCAAUAACCAUAAGGGGGUGAGCUGUG